UGACUGCUCUCUCUGCAGGUGUCUGAAGGCCAGGAUGGUCUCCCCAUGGCAGCUCCUGUGGCUGCUGGUGCUCUGGGCUCAGGAUUCCCGAGGAGCCAUUGUGCUGACCCAGUCUCCAGCCUCCUUGUCUGGAUCUCCAGGAGAGAGAGUCACCCUCAGCUGCAAGGCCAGUGAGAAUGUAUAUAACAACCUUCAUUGGUACCAGCAGAAACCAGGCCAAGCCCCCAGGCUCCUCAUCUAUGGGGCUACCAGCCUGGCAUCUGGAGUGCCUGCCCGGUUCAGUGGCAGUGGGUCUGGGACAGAUUUCACUCUCACCAUCAGCAGCUUGGAGCCUGAGGAUGCUGGAGAUUAUUACUGUCAGCAGAGUAUUUACUUGCCUCCCACAGUGCUUCAGGCCUUAACAAAAACCUCCCCAGGCUGCUCAGGGGAUUCAGCUCAGAGCAGCAGCUGCCUCCUCUCUGGUCCCCAGGCAGAGCAGCCCCUGCUCUCUGGGCAGGCUCACACCUCCCAGGGCUUCACCUUACUGCUCCCUUAGCACCCCUCCUUUCUC